rnacentral:rRNA from 2 species
AGACCCGAAACCCGGUGAUCUAGCCAUGGGCAGGUUGAAGGUUGGGUAACACUAACUGGAGGACCGAACCGACUAAUGUUGAAAAAUUAGCGGAUGACCUGUGGCUGGGGGUGAAAGGCCAAUCAAACCGGGAGAUAGCUGGUUCUCCCCGAAAGCUAUUUAGGUAGCGCCUCGUGAAUUCAUCUCCGGGGGUAGAGCACUGUUUCGGCUAGGGGGCCAUCCCGGCUUACCAACCCGAUGCAAACUGCGAAUACCGGAGAAUGUUAUCACGGGAGACACACGGCGGGUGCUAACGUCCGUCGUGAAGAGGGAAACAACCCAGACCGCCAGCUAAGGUCCCAAAGUCAUGGUUAAGUGGGAAACGAUGUGGGAAGGCCCAGACAGCCAGGAUGUUGGCUUAGAAGCAGCCAUCAUUUAAAGAAAGCGUAAUAGCUCACUGGUCGAGUCGGCCUGCGCGGAAGAUGUAACGGGGCUAAACCAUGCACCGAAGCUGCGGCAGCGAACGUAUCACCCAAGACAACUUUACGGAGUUGACGAUUGACGGAGCGAAGCGACGUCAAAGCGUUCAUUAAAGUCGAGUUGGCUUAGGGAUACGUUC